rnacentral:rRNA from 1 species
GAUGAACGCUGGCGGCGUGCCUAAUACAUGCAAGUCGAGCGAACAGAUGAGGAGCUUGCUCCUCUGACGUUAGCGGCGGACGGGUGAGUAACACGUGGAUAACCUACCUAUAAGACUGGGAUAACUUCGGGAAACCGGAGCUAAUACCGGAUAAUAUAUUGAACCGCAUGGUUCAAUAGUGAAAGACGGUUUUGCUGACACUUAUAGAUGGAUCCGCGCCGCAUUAGCUAGUUGGUAAGGUAACGGCUUACCAAGGCAACGAUGCGUAGCCGACCUGAGAGGGUGAUCGGCCACACUGGAACUGAGACACGGUCCAGACUCCUACGGGAGGCAGCAGUAGGGAAUCUUCCGCAAUGGGCGAAAGCCUGACGGAGCAACGCCGCGUGAGUGAUGAAGGUCUUCGGAUCGUAAAACUCUGUUAUUAGGGAAGAACAAAUGUGUAAGUAACUAUGCACGUCUUGACGGUACCUAAUCAGAAAGCCACGGCUAACUACGUG